rnacentral:rRNA from 1 species
AAUACGUAGGGUGCGAGCGUUAAUCGGAAUUACUGGGCGUAAAGCGUGCGCAGGCGGUUUUGUAAGCCAGAUGUGAAAUCCCCGGGCUCAACCUGGGAAUGGCAUUUGGGACUGCAAGGCUUGAGUUUGGCAGAGGAGACUGGAAUUCCCGGUGUAGCAGUGAAAUGCGUAGAUAUCGGGAGGAAUACCGAUGGCGAAGGCAUGUCUCUGGGCUAGAACUGACGCUCAUGCACGAAAGCGUGGGGAGCAAACA